rnacentral:rRNA from 1 species
UACCAGCACCCCGAGUGGUCGGGACGGAUUAUUGGCCUAAAGCAUCCGUAGCCGGCCUUACAAGUCCUCCGUUAAAUCCAGCUGCUUAACAGAUGGGCUGCGGAGGAUACUAUAAGACUAGGAGGCAGGAGAGGCAAGCGGUACUCAGUGGGUAGGGGUAAAAUCCGUUGAUCCAUUGAAGACCACCAGUGGCGAAGGCGGCUUGCCAGAAUGCGCUCGACGGUGAGGGAUGAAAGCUGGGGGAGCAAACCGG